rnacentral:sRNA from 1 species
UGUAAAGUUUUCUAGGGUUCCGCAAGUGCCGUUCGCUUGGACUGGUCCGAGAGAAAACGCACAAAUUGCUGUGUACACGGAAGGAUAAAAGCCUGGGAGAA